rnacentral:rRNA from 1 species
UACGUAUGGUGCAAGCGUUAUCCGGAUUUACUGGGUGUAAAGGGAGCGCAGGCGGCGCGGCAAGUCCGAUGUGAAAACCCCCGGCUCAACCGGGGGACUGCAUUGGAAACUACCGGGCUGGAGUGCCGGAGAGGUAGGCGGAAUUCCUGGUGUAGCGGUGAAAUGCGUAGAUAUCAGGAGGAACACCAGUAGCGAAGGCGGCCUACUGGACGGUGACUGACGCUGAGGCUCGAAAGCGUGGGGAGCAAACAGG